AUACCUUGAUCUGUACACUGAAAGCGGUCAUAGUAUCUCCGUAUAUCUAAUGGAUACCUUGAUCUGUACACUGAAAGCGGUCAUAGUAUCUCCGUAUAUCUAAUGAAGUUCAAUACGAAGCAUAUUCAUUUGCAUUCUGUUUUUAUACUUAACUAAUUCAUCUAAUGAUGAUAAAAAUAAUUACCUGACUUAACUGAGUUAUGUUUGACCUUUACAGC
rnacentral:lncRNA from 1 species